rnacentral:rRNA from 1 species
UACGAAGGGGGCUAGCGUUGUUCGGAAUCACUGGGCGUAAAGGGCGCGUAGGCGGCUUUGUAAGUCGGGGGUGAAAGCCUGUGGCUCAACCACAGAAUUGCCUUCGAUACUGCAUGGCUUGAGACCGGAAGAGGUAAGUGGAACUGCGAGUGUAGAGGUGAAAUUCGUAGAUAUUCGCAAGAACACCAGUGGCGAAGGCGGCUUACUGGUCCGGAUCUGACGCUGAGGCGCGAAAGCGUGGGGAGCGAACAGG